AUGCGCAAUACCCCUGGCCGGCAUCCUUCCCAUGCUAUGCUUGAGCGGCAGCGCUGGGGGCACCCUGGCGGCGAGCUGGCGCACUGGGUAUAUGCAUCCGGAACGUGUCCUCUUGUGGGGGAUAACCAGUCGAAAGACUGGCUAUACCGCAUGAGCACGAGAGUGGAAAGCGGGGGACCGUAAGGCCUCGCGCGAGAGGAGCGGCCGAUGCCGGAUUAGCUAGUUGGCGGGGUAAUGGCCCACCAAGGCGACGAUCCGUAGCUUGUCUGAGAGGACGACCAGCCACACUGGGACUGAGACACGGCCCAGACUCCUACGGGAGGCAGCAGUGGGGAAUUUUGGACAAUGGGGGCAACCCUGAUCCAGCCAUGCCGCGUGUGUGAAGAAGGCCUUCGGGUUGUAAAGCACUUUCGGACGGAACGAAAUCGCGCGGGCGAACAUCCCGCGUGGAUUACGGUACCGUAAGAAGAAGCACCGGCUAACUACGUUGCCAGCAGCCGCGGUAAUACGUAGGGUGCGAGCGUUAAUCGGAAUUACUGGGCGUAAAGUGUGCGCAGGCGGACGCGCAAGUCGAGUGUGAAAGCCCCGGGCUUAACUUGGGAAUUGCGCUCGAA
rnacentral:rRNA from 1 species